GUGGGGGAUAUUGCACAAUGGGCGAAAGCCUGAUGCAGCAACGCCGCGUGAGGGAAGACGGUUUUCGGAUUGUAAACCUCUGUUCUAAGUGACGAACAAAUGACGGUAGCUUAGGAGAAAGCCCCGGCUAACUACGUGCCAGCAGCCGCGGUAAUACGUAGGGGGCAAGCGUUGUCCGGAAUUACUGGGUGUAAAGGGAGCGCAGGCGGAGAAGCAAGUCAGUGGUGAAAACGAUGGGCUUAACUCAUCGACUGCCAUUGAAACUGUUUCCCUUGAGUGAAGUAGAGGCAGGCGGAAUUCCGAGUGUAGCGGUGAAAUGCGUAGAUAUUCGGAGGAACACCAGUGGCGAAGGCGGCCUGCUGGGCUUUAACUGACGCUGAGGCUCGAAAGUGUGGGGAGCAAACAGGAUUAGAAACCCGUGUAGUCC
rnacentral:rRNA from 1 species